rnacentral:lncRNA from 1 species
UGAUUUUAGAUAAUGUUUUAUUAUCGCCUGUUAACUCAUUAACCAUUUCUGAAAAAGCUCUUAGAAAAAAACACAAUGGAAAAAUGAGGAAUGGACAGUAACAGGCAAUUCUCAGAAUAAGGAUAAAAAAUUUGCAAAGAUAUCACAUUACUCAUAAUUAAAGUAAUACCAAUGAAAAGAAAUUACCAUUUUUCACCUAUUAGAUAAAAGAUCCAAGUUUGAUAAUAUACCAUUUUGGCAUGGAUUUAAUAGAACUAGCAUUCUCAUACAUAAUUAGUGAGGAUGUAAAUUAGCACAAAUUCUUUCAAGAGUAGUUUGAAAAACAUCUGCCAAAAUUUUAAAUGCGCAUACCUUUGACCUAACAAUUCUGCUUCUAGGAGUUUGUCCUCCGGGGAUCCUCACACGAGUGCUUACAGAUAUCUGAACAACUCCAUUCAAGGCAGCAUUGUUUGAAAUAGAUGAAAACAUUUUGGAAACAUCAGUGUCAAUGAGUAGGGGACUAACUGAACAAAUUAUGGUUCAUCCACGACACAGAACAUUGUGCAGUUCCUAGAAAGAAGGCAGUAGAACACCACGGGCCGAUUAGCCCUGAGCUAACAUCUGCCACCAAUCCUCCUCUUUUUGCUGAGGAAGACCAGCCCUGAGCUAACAUCUGUGCCCAUCUUCCUCCACUUCAUAUGAAGGACGCCUGACACAGCAUGGCUUGACAAGCAGUCCAGUGACAAGCAAAACUGCCCUGCUCCAAAGCUCCCUGAAGUGCAAAAAGACUAAGAAGAUCAAAGGGACCAUUAGCCACUCCCUGGACUUCAAAGGUUUCCCCUGUGGGAACGCUGAGAAGCCGAUGUGUGUUUACAGACGCUUGGAGACUUCCAUCGCAGUGCACAAAUACAUUACACUCAUCUUGGUUCCCCCAUUCUUCCCAUGAGCACUGCAGGACUAUUCUUAGCAUUUUUGCG